rnacentral:siRNA from 1 species
CCCUCCGCCACCAACGACUG